UGCCCCAGUAACGGCGAGUGAAGCGGCAACAGCUCAAAUUUGAAAUCUGGCCCCCCGGCCCGAGUUGUAAUUUGCAGAGGAUGCUUUUGGUGAGGCACCCACCGAGUCCCCUGGAAUGGGGCGCCAUAGAGGGUGAGAGCCCCGUAUGGUGGGAAGCCGAGCCUCUGUAAAGCUCCUUCGACGAGUCGAGUAGUUUGGGAAUGCUGCUCUAAAUGGGAGGUAAAUUUCUUCUAAAGCUAAAUACCGGCCAGAGACCGAUAGCGCACAAGUAGAGUGAUCGAAAGAUGAAAAGCACUUUGAAAAGAGGGUUAAAAAGUACGUGAAAUUGUUGAAAGGGAAGCGCUUGUGACCAGACUUGCGCCGGGCGGAUCAUCCAGCGUUCUCGCUGGUGCACUCCGCCCGGCUCAGGCCAGCAUCGGUUUUCGCCGGGGGACAAAGGCUUCGGGAACGUAGCUCCUCUCGGGGAGUGUUAUAGCCCGUCGCGUAAUACCCCGGCGGGGACCGACGACCGCGCUUCGGCAAGGAUGCUGGCGUAAUGGUCAUCAGCGACCCGUCUUGAAACACGGACCGAGGAGUCAAGCAUUAGUGCGAGUGUUUGGGUGUAAAACCCGCACGCGUAAUGAAAGUGAACGUAGGUGAGAGCUUCGGCGCAUCAUCGACCGAUCCUGAUGUUUUCGGAAGGAUUUGAGUAGGAGCAUUAACGCUUGGACCCGAAAGAUGGUGAACUAUACUUGAAUAGGGUGAAGCCA
rnacentral:rRNA from 2 species